UUUGGCGCAGGACAUACACUAAAAUAUAUGGCACGAUAUAGGGAAGAUGAGCUUGGCCCCUACAUAAGGAUUAAGUGCAAAUUUGUGAAGCAUUCCACAUGUUU